rnacentral:rRNA from 1 species
AAUGAACGCUGGCGGCGCGCCUAAUACAUGCAAGUCGAGCGAGAAGACGUAGCAAUACGUUUGUAAAGCGGCGAACGGGUGAGGAAUACAUGGGUAACCUACCCUUGAGUGGGGAAUAACUAGCCGAAAGGUUAGCUAAUACCGCGUACGCUUCUUGGACUUCGGUCCAGGGAGGAAAGCGAUGCCGAGGGUAUCGCGCUCUUGGAUGGGCUCAUGUCCUAUCAGCUUGUUGGGAGGUAACGGCUCACCAAGGCUUCGACGGGUAGCUGGUCUGAGAGGACGAUCAGCCACACUGGCACUGCGACACGGGCCAGACUCCUACGGGAGGCAGCAGUAAGGAAUAUUGCGCAAUGGGCGAAAGCCUGACGCAGCGACGCCGCGUGGGGGAUGAAGGUCUUCGGAUUGUAAACCCC